UGGAGAGAGAACUUGCUGUUGAGUUUUUCACACCAAAGCGAUCUAGAUGGAUAAAUAGCACCACAGUUGUACCCGGCCAAUUACCCUAUUUUCUGAGCCAUGUGGGAGGAUCACGCUAUUCCCUCAGUUCCCCCUCCCCCCUGAACAGGCGCCCCGACUGACCAGAGGAGACGCUAGUGCAGCGACCAGGACACACACCCACAUCCGGAUUCCCACCUGCAGACACGGCCAAUUGUGUCUGUGGGGACGCCCGACCAAGCCGGAGUGCAGCCUCCAGCCUGUGAGCCCUCCACCUCUCUCUAUGCUACAACAUCGCCUGCGCCACAACUGGC